rnacentral:rRNA from 1 species
GACGAACGCUGGCGGCGUGCUUAACACAUGCAAGUCUACGAGAACGAGGUAGCAAUAUCUCUAUUAAAGUGGCGCACGGGUGCGUAACACGUAAGCAAUCUACCUUUGGGUCUGGAAUAACUUCGAGAAAUCGGGGCUAAUACCGGAUAAUGCAGCGGCACCGCAUGGUGAUGUUGUUAAAGUUUAAGUAAUGCCUUUAGAUGAGCUUGCGUCUGAUUAGCUAGUUGGUAGAGUAAUAGCCUACCAAGGCGACGAUCGGUAGCCGGCCUGAGAGGGUGAUCGGCCACACCGGAACUGAGACACGGUCCGGACUCCUACGGGAGGCAGCAGUGGGGAAUUUUGCGCAAUGGGCGAAAGCCUGACGCAGCAACGCCGCGUGGAGGAUGAAGGUGCUCUGCAUUGUAAACUCCUGUCGGCCGGGAAGAAUCGGCGGGGUGCUAAUCAGCCCCGUCUUGACUGUACCGGCAAAGGAAGCCCCGGCUAACUCCGUGCCAGCAGCCGCGGUAAUACGGAGGGGGCAAGCGUUACUCGGAAUUACUGGGCGUAAAGCGCGCGUAGGCGGUCGAGUGAGUCGGAUGUGAAAUCCCCGGGCUUAACCUGGGAAUUGCAUUCGAUACUGCUCGGCUAGAGUGUGGAAGAGGGAAGCGGAAUUUCCGGUGUAGCGGUGAAAUGAGGUAGAUAUCGGAAGGAACACCAGUGGCGAAGGCGGCUUCCUGGUCCAACACUGACGCUGAGGCACGAAAGCGUGGGGAGCAAACAGGAUUAGAUACCCUGGUAGUCCACGCUGUAAACGAUGAGAACUAGAUGUUGGGGGGUAUAACCCCUCAGUGUCGCAGCUAACGCAUUAAGUUCUCCGCCUGGGGAGUACGGUCGCAAGAUUAAACUCAAAGGAAUUGACGGGACCCGCACAAGCGUGGAGCAUGUGGAUUAAUUCGAUACUAACCGAAGAACCUUACCCAGGUUUGACAUCGAUGGUAAGCCCGAGAGAUCGGGCCCUCUCUCACAAGGAGACCUGAAGACAGAUGUUGCAUGGCUGUCGUCAGCUCGUGCCGUGAGGUGUACGGUUAAGUCCGCCAACGAGCGCAACCCUCGUCCUAUGUUGCCAGCGAGUAAUGUCGGGAACUCAUAGGAGACCGCCGGUGUAAGCCGGAGGAAGGUGGGGAUGAUGUCAAGUCAGCAUGGCUCUUACGCCUGGGGCUUCACACAUGCUACAAUGGGCGCAACAAAGGGCACCGAAGCCGUGAGGUGGAGGCAAUCCCAAAAAUACGCCCCCAGUUCAGAUUGCAGUCUGCAACUCGACUGCAUGAAGGCGGAAUCGCUAGUAAACGCAGGUCAGCUAUACUGCGUUGAAUACGUUCCCGGGUCUUGUACACACCGCCCGUCAAGUCACCUGAAUUGUCUUCACCCGAAGUCCGUGGCCUAACCGUAAGGAGGGAGCGGCCGAAGGUGAGGGGAGUAAGGGGGACUA